rnacentral:lncRNA from 1 species
CGAGCUUCCUUUAAGCUCACGUUGACAUUGGUGAAUGUGUUUUGAAAGCAUCUCUUCCUGCAAGUAGAGGCCAUGGCCAGCGCGGGGGGAGCACAGGAUGGGGUUUCACUGAGCCCCCAGCAGUGCCAGGAGAUGGGAACGGAGCCCCGCAGGCCCCCACCGCUGCCAGGAAAAGCUUGGAGGGCCAUGGCACGCGCCCGCUGUGCCAGCCUGGACCUGGGGGGCUCCAUAGCGAACACCCCCGUGUUGGACACCCUGGAGGAGCACCCACCUCAGACUCCCAGCUCAGCCCUCAUCUACAGCAACGUGGGAGAGCUGCGUGCCCACCUCGUCCCCACCAAGGCCAGCCGAGGGGAUGGAGCCAGGAGAGCCCCCCCGCAGCCCAGCCAUGACCCCCUGCCUCCCCCCUUGCCCCAAAAGCAGCUGCAGCGAGCUGAGUCCCUCCCUGAGCCAGGCACAUGGCAGCCCUACCACCGAGACCCCCCGCAACAACUCGGCAGCCCUUGGCCUCGACAGAAGGAUGGGGCACACAGAAAGCCCCUGACCAAAUCGCAGAGCCUGGGGGACACCCGGGGGGUGGUUCUGAUGCCCAACCUGGCAGAUCUGACAUUUGGGACAGGGGAUGCGGUGCUGGGCCCAAUCCUGCAGGGUCUGGAGGACCGGACAGGGCUGUGCGAGGUCAUAGUGGGCUGCCAUGCUGCUGGCCUGGCCCGACUGUGUGCCCGCGCCAUGGAGGGGCUGAUGGGGUCCUGGGGGGGGCUGCAGGCCAAGCUGGCAGGGCAGGGCUGGGCUGCACUCAGGGUGCUGCAGCAGGAGCCAUGCUGCCAGAGCGGGGAUGCCUGGUAUUACCGUGUGGGGGUCACCUUUAGGAAAGAACAGCUGGAGCUCGCAGCCAAGGUAAGGGGGGUUGGGGCAGCGGGAGGGGCUGGGUGGGUGAGCA